rnacentral:rRNA from 1 species
AGGCCAUGAAUCUGGUCUUGGGACACUGUCAGGUGGGCAGUUUGACUGGGGCGGUCGCCUCCCAAAAGGUAACGGAGGCGCUCAAAGGUUCUCUCAGUACGGGCGGAAAUCGUACGUAGAGUGUAAAGGCAAAAGAGAGCUUGAUUGCAAGACAUACAGGACGAGCAAGGAUGAAAAUCGGACUUAGUGAUCCGGUGGUUCUGCGUGGAAGGGCCAUCGCUCA